UUCUAGGUCCAAAAUGCUAUAUUUUCCAAGUACAUAUCUGAUUGCUGUAUGUGGAAAAUGACUUGCUGAGUGAUUCUGGAU
rnacentral:snoRNA from 1 species